rnacentral:rRNA from 1 species
GAGUUUGAUCCUGGCUCAGAUUGAACGCUGGCGGAAUGCUUUACACAUGCAAGUCGAACGGCAGCACGGGAGCCUGCUCCUGGUGGCGAGUGGCGAACGGGUGAGUAAUAUAUCGGAACGUACCCCGUCGUGGGGGAUAACUCUCCGAAAGGAGUGCUAAUACCGCAUACGACCUGAGGGUGAAAGCGGGGGACCUGCAAGGGCCUCGCGCGAUGGGAGCGGCCGAUAUCGGAUUAGCUAGUUGGUGAGGUAAAGGCUCACCAAGGCGACGAUCCGUAGCGGGUCUGAGAGGACGACCCGCCACACUGGAACUGAGACACGGUCCAGACUCCUACGGGAGGCAGCAGUGGGGAAUUUUGGACAAUGGGGGAAACCCUGAUCCAGCCAUUCCGCGUGAGUGAAGAAGGCCUUCGGGUUGUAAAGCUCUUUCAGCAGGAACGAAACGGUAGGCUUUAAUACAGUCUGCUAAUGACGGUACCUGCAGAAGAAGCACCGGCUAACUACGUG